rnacentral:rRNA from 1 species
GUGGGGAAUAUUGGACAAUGGGCGCAAGCCUGAUCCAGCAAUGCCGCGUGCAGGAAGAAGGCCUUCGGGUUGUAAACUGCUUUUGUACGGAACGAAACGGCUCUUGUUAAUACCUGGGGCUAAUGACGGUACCGUAAGAAUAAGCACCGGCUAACUACGUGCCAGCAGCCGCGGUAAUACGUAGGGUGCAAGCGUUAAUCGGAAUUACUGGGCGUAAAGCGUGCGCAGGCGGUUUUGUAAGACAGGCGUGAAAUCCCCGGGCUCAACCUGGGAAUGGCGCUUGUGACUGCAAAGCUGGAGUGCGGCAGAGGGGGAUGGAAUUCCGCGUGUAGCAGUGAAAUGCGUAGAUAUGCGGAGGAACACCGAUGGCGAAGGCAAUCCCCUGGGCCUGCACUGACGCUCAUGCACGAAAGCGUGGGGAGCAAACAGGAUUAGAAACCCCGGUAGUCC